GGGUGAAUUGCUCGGUGGUAGAGCACAUGCUUAGCAUGCAUGAGGUCCUGGGUUCAAUUCCCAGUACCUCCA
rnacentral:tRNA from 1 species